AAAGAAUUGCUUAAGCCCAGGAGUUCAAGGUUACAGUGAGCUAUGAUUGUGCCACUGCACUCCAGCCUGGGUGACAAGA
rnacentral:snRNA from 1 species